UGACCUCGGAUCAGGUAGGAAUACCCGCUGAACUUAAGCAUAUCAAUAAGCGGGAGG
rnacentral:rRNA from 1 species